rnacentral:rRNA from 1 species
GAUGAACGCUGGCGGCGUGCCUAAUACAUGCAAGUCGAGCGAACAGACGAGGAGCUUGCUCCUCUGACGUUAGCGGCGGACGGGUGAGUAACACGUGGAUAACCUACCUAUAAGACUGGGAUAACUUCGGGAAACCGGAGCUAAUACCGGAUAAUAUAUUGAACCGCAUGGUUCAAUAGUGAAAGACGGUUUUGCUGUCACUUAUAGAUGGAUCCGCGCCGCAUUAGCUAGUUGGUAAGGUAACGGCUUACCAAGGCAACGAUGCGUAGCCGACCUGAGAGGGUGAUCGGCCACACUGGAACUGAGACACGGUCCAGACUCCUACGGGAGGCAGCAGUAGGGAAUAUUCCGCAAUGGGCGAAAGCUUGACGGAGCAACGCCGCGUGAGUGAUGAAGGUCUUCGGAUCGUAAAACUCUGUUAUUAGGGAAGAACAAAUGUGUAAGUAACUAUGCACGUCUUGACGGUACCUAAUCAGAAAGCCACGGCCAACUACGUG